rnacentral:rRNA from 1 species
GCCAGACUCCUACGGGAGGCAGCAGUGGGAAAUCUUCCGCAAUGGGCGCAAGCCUGACGGAGCAAUGCCGCGUGGACGAAGAAGGUCUUCGGAUUGUAAAGUUCUGUCCUUAUCGAAGAGAGGGUAUAGAGUGAAAAAUGAUAUACUAGGACGGUAGAUGAGGAGGAAGCCCCGGCUAACUACGUGCCAGCAGCCGCGGUAAUACGUAGGGGGCGAGCGUUGUCCGGAAUCACUGGGCGUAAAGGGCGCGUAGGCGGUAAUAUAAGUCAGAUGUGAAAGGUGGGGGCUCAACCCCUAGAGUGCAACUGAUACUGUAUAACUUGAGUGUGAGAGAGGGAGGCGGAAUUCCUAGUGUAGCGGUGAAAUGCGUAGAUAUCAGGAGGAACACCGGCGGCGAAGGCGGCCUGCUGGACCGUGACUGACGUUGAGGCUCGAGAGCGUGGGGAGCAAACAGGAUUAGAUCCCCCUGUA